rnacentral:rRNA from 1 species
UACGUAGGGACCAAGCGUUGUCCGGAAUCAUUGGGCGUAAAGAGCGUGUAGGCGGCUUGUUAAGUUUUGCGUGAAAUCUCGGGGCUCAACCCCGAGCGGUCGUGAGAAACUGGCAGGCUAGAGUACGGAAGAGGCGAGUGGAAUUCCUGGUGUAGCGGUGAAAUGCGCAGAUAUCAGGAGGAACACCAAUUGCGAAGGAAGCUCGCUGGGACGUUACUGACGCUGAGACGCGAAAGCGUGGGGAGCAAACAGG